CCUACGGGUGGCUGCAGUGGGGAAUCUUAGACAAUGGGCGCAAGCCUGAUCUAGCCAUGCCGCGUGAGUGAUGAAGGCCUUAGGGUCGUAAAGCUCUUUCGCUGGGGAAGAUAAUGACGGUACCCAGUAAAGAAACCCCGGCUAACUCCGUGCCAGCAGCCGCGGUAAUACGGAGGGGGUUAGCGUUGUUCGGAAUUACUGGGCGUAAAGCGCGCGUAGGCGGAUCAGAAAGUUGGGGGUGAAAUCCCGGGGCUCAACCCCGGAAUUGCCUUCAA
rnacentral:rRNA from 1 species